rnacentral:rRNA from 1 species
CUACGGGGGGCUCCAGUGGGGAAUAUUGCACAAUGGGCGCAAGCCUGAUGCAGCCAUGCCGCGUGUAUGAAGAAGGCCUUCGGGUUGUAAAGUACUUUCAGCGGGGAGGAAGGGAGUAAAGUUAAUACCUUUGCUCAUUGACGUUACCCGCAGAAGAAGCACCGGCUAACUCCGUGCCAGCAGCCGCGGUAAUACGGAGGGUGCAAGCGUUAAUCGGAAUUACGGGGCGUAAAGCGCACGCAGGCGGGUUGUUAAGUCAGAUGUGAAAUCCCCGGGCUCAACCUGGGAACUGCAUCUGAUACUGGCAAGCUUGAGUCUCGUAGAGGGGGGUAGAAUUCCAGGUGUAGCGGUGAAAUGCGUAGAGAUCUGGAGGAAUACCGGUGGCGAAGGCGGCCCCCUGGACGAAGACUGACGCUCAGGUGCGAAAGCGUGGGGAGCAAACAGGAUUAGAUACCCGCGUAGUC